rnacentral:rRNA from 1 species
ACAGCAGCAGCCACGGUAAUACAGAGGGUGCAAGCGUUAAUCGGAAUUACUGGGCGUAAAGCGCGCGUAGGUGGUUUGUUAAGUUGGAUGUGAAAUCCCCGGGCUCAACCUGGGAACUGCAUCCAAAACUGGCAAGCUAGAGUAUGGUAGAGGGUGGUGGAAUUUCCUGUGUAGCGGUGAAAUGCGUAGAUAUAGGAAGGAACACCAGUGGCGAAGGCGACCACCUGGACUGAUACUGACACUGAGGUGCGAAAGCGUGGGGAGCAAACAGGAUUAGAUACCCCAGUAGUCCCUGUCUCUUAUAC